rnacentral:rRNA from 1 species
AGUGAACGCUGGCGGUAGGCCUAACACAUGCAAGUCGAACGGCAGCACAGUAAGAGCUUGCUCUUACGGGUGGCGAGUGGCGGACGGGUGAGGAAUACAUCGGAAUCUACAUUUUCGUGGGGGAUAACGUAGGGAAACUUACGCUAAUACCGCAUACGACCUACGGGUGAAAGCAGGGGAUCUUCGGACCUUGCGCGAUUGAAUGAGCCGAUGUCGGAUUAGCUAGUUGGCGGGGUAAAGGCCCACCAAGGCGACGAUCCGUAGCUGGUCUGAGAGGAUGAUCAGCCACACUGGAACUGAGACACGGUCCAGACUCCUACGGGAGGCAGCAGUGGGGAAUAUUGGACAAUGGGCGCAAGCCUGAUCCAGCCAUACCGCGUGGGUGAAGAAGGCCUUCGGGUUGUAAAGCCCUUUUGUCGGGAAAGAAAAGCAGCAGGUUAAUACCCCGCUGUUCUGACGGUACCCAAAGAAUAAGCACCGGCUAACUUCGUG